GAUUAGGUAGACGGUGGGGUAACGGCCCACCGUGCCCAUAAUCGGUACGGGUCAUGAGAGUGAGAACCCGGAGACGGUCUCUGAGACACGAGUCCGGGCCCUACGGGGCGCAGCAGGCGCGAAACCUUUACACUGCACGACAGUGCGAUAAGGGGAUUCCGAGUGCGAGGGCAUAUAGUCCUCGCUUUUGUACACCGUAGGGCGGUGUACGAAUAAGGGCUGGGCAAGACCGGUGCCAGCCGCCGCGGUAACACCGGCAGCCCGAGUGAUGGCCGCUUUUAUUGGGCCUAAAGCGUCCGUAGCUUGCCAGACAGGUCCGUUGGGAAAUCCACUCGCUUAACGAGUGGGCGUCCAGCGGAAACCGUCCGGCUUGGGACCGGAAGACCUGAGGGGUACGUCCAGGGUAGGAGUGAAAUCCUGUAAUCCUGGACGGACCACCGGUGGCGAAAGCGCCUCAGGAAGACGGAUCCGACAGUGAGGGAC
rnacentral:rRNA from 1 species